rnacentral:rRNA from 2 species
UCAGGACGAACGCUGGCGGCAUGCUUAAUACAUGCAAGUCGAACGAGCUUCCGUUGAAUGACGUGCUUGCACUGAUUUCAACAAUGAAGCGAGUGGCGAACUGGUGAGUAACACGUGGGAAAUCUGCCCAGAAGCAGGGGAUAACACUUGGAAACAGGUGCUAAUACCGUAUAACAACAAAAUCCGCAUGGAUUUUGUUUGAAAGGUGGCUUCGGCUAUCACUUCUGGAUGAUCCCGCGGCGUAUUAGUUAGUUGGUGAGGUAAAGGCCCACCAAGACGAUGAUACGUAGCCGACCUGAGAGGGUAAUCGGCCACAUUGGGACUGAGACACGGCCCAAACUCCUACGGGAGGCAGCAGUAGGGAAUCUUCCACAAUGGACGAAAGUCUGAUGGAGCAAUGCCGCGUGAGUGAAGAAGGGUUUCGGCUCGUAAAACUCUGUUGUUAAAGAAGAACACCUUUGAGAGUAACUGUUCAAGGGUUGACGGUAUUUAACCAGAAAGCCACGGCUAACUACGUGCCAGCAGCCGCGGUAAUACGUAGGUGGCAAGCGUUGUCCGGAUUUAUUGGGCGUAAAGCGAGCGCAGGCGGUUUUUUAAGUCUGAUGUGAAAGCCUUCGGCUUAACCGGAGAAGUGCAUCGGAAACUGGGAGACUUGAGU